rnacentral:lncRNA from 10 species
AAACCUGCUCUGGCUUUCAGUUUUCAUAGAUGAUGUUUCCUUUUCCCAGGAAGGAGAUACAUGUUGGCAACAUCUAAACUUGUCUUGUUUAAUCUAAUAUCACUCAAUUCAUUUAGAGGCUUAGUCCUAGACUUUCCUCUCUUUGGUUUGUUUUUAUUGUAUUUCUGGAGAAAUGCAGCUCAAAGUGCUCUUGUGAAACUCGGUAAAAUUUUGCUUAGUUUUAAACCUACACCCCAGAUACAGGAUGUACUAGAGAUGGUUCUGGCUCUAACAAGAACACUGUGCCUACCACAAAGAUUUGAUUCCUACCUACAUAGUGCCUUGUGAUGAUUCCUGUAUUUUUGCCUUAAAUGGAAUUUAUGGAGAAGACAUUUUUGAGAUGCAGUCUUAGAGAUUAGUGAAGAUUUAACUAAAACAUUGAUACUACAUGGUCUAAAUGAGGCAGAGAGAGCAUUUUAGAUGUGAUUCCGAGAAAAUCUGAGAUGCUCUGCUGUAAUUUGCAACAUUGUUUUGCUACCUAAAUGUCAGACACAGCACAUAGGCACUUGCUAAAACGAAUAGAAAAAAAUGAGGACCACCAUCAAUUCCAACAUUGAGAACUCGUAUUUUAGUUGGAAAGAAAUGCACACAGUUUGGAAUCCUAUGUAAUCAAGAUAAGAGAACAACAAUUUUCCAAAUGCUUUCCGUGGGCCAGCGUGGAAACUUAACUCUCUCACACAGACAACGAGAUUACACUCUGACACCAAGCCCUGCCCUUGUGGGAAGUAUGAUAAGCCUCAAGGCAAACAAUUCUUCCUUCGCGAUUGCAGUCUGGGCACCUGAUGAUAUAGAAUGACUCAUUGGACUCCUGCCUCUUCUACUUCAUUCUUACCAUGAGCUCCCCUAGAAGAUGUAGUCUUCCACCGUUACCAAAAUCUGCAACCAGAAAGAUCAAGCUCUAGGAAGCAGUACACACUAUACUCCUGUGUGGAAACAAAGUAAUCCUCAUCAGAUCAUCUAACUUGCUGUUGCUGUAAGGACUGUGAAUUGGUAGCAAUAAAUAAGCCAUGGGAAAUAGGAGGGAAAACACCAUCAAUGACAAUAAAAACUGAAUGUGAAA